rnacentral:rRNA from 1 species
GACAGAGGUCCCGAGCGUUAGGCGGAAUCACUGGGCUUAAAGCGUGUGUAGGCGGAUCGUUAAGUGCCUUGUGAAAUCCCACGGCUCAACCAUGGAACUGCUUGGUAUACUGGCGAUCUUGUGCAACCUAGGGGCGAGCGGAACAGAUGGUGGAGCGGUGAAAUGCGUAGAUAUCAUCUGGAACGCCAAUGGUGAAAACAGCUCGCUGGGGGUUUGCAGACGCUGAGACACGAAAGCCAGGGGAGCGAACGGG